UGCCUUUAUGUGUUGCCCGUUCAUUUUUCUCCAGAAAUGAACGUGGUGUCAGCAAAGGCAUACAUCAGCGUUUGUGUGGGCCUGUGCCUGGUGUCUCAUGGUGUCACCCUGUAUUAAGUUCUACACAAGUACACGU